AAGAAGGUGUUCUUUACUGUGUUUGAUGUAUAAUGAAUUCAAAAUGCCAAAACCAUUUCAUUCUUCAAACAGUUGUUUUUCAAUUAAUUAAGAACACUUUUAAAAAAAAAUAGGGAGGUUAAGUUUAUAACCCAUUAUGUGAUAAGUAGGAGAAAUGAGGAAGAAGAUUUAAAAAAAGAAGAUUCCCAAAACAAUGGUGGGGUGUUGUGAAAUAAUCCUCUCGACUCACCUGAUAUUUCAGGUAUUUCAUCAGUAAUAAACAAGUAAACUUAAAACUACAAGUUGAUGCCUACAGUCACACUAUUUAAAUUUUUUGUAACUCCUCCCCUACAACUCAGCCCCCAUUCGCUGGCUACUUUCAUCAGCACACAAAAGACUGAACCAGUCUGCUGCGGAUCACAAGGCAAAGCAAGUUACAAUCAAAAUCCAAUAAACCGAACAAUGGAUCUCAGCCAGUUUUCCAGUCAGCCUCCAGAAGCCUACAAUUCAUCUAAGAAAUCAGGGAUGCCAGCAGCGCCACCACCAGCAUACCAGCACAAUCCUGCUGGAUAUCCUCCCACCUUUCUGAAUCAGCCGGUCCCCCAGGGCCCGUACACCCAGGGGCCAUAUCCAGGACAGUCUGUGGUCACUGUACAGCCUGUUGUUUUUGUGACCGCCGCUCCACUGGCCAAUCCAGUGCCAGAUUACCUGGCCUAUUCCAUCUUCACCAUGCUGUGCUGCUGCUUUCCUCUGGGCGUUGCUGCACUGAUUUACUCCAUCUCUACUCGUGAUGCCAACUUCUCAGGACAGAGAGAAUUAGCAGAGAAGAACUCCAAAAUGGCACGUAACCUGAAUCACACCGGCCUUGGUAUUGGCCUCGCUGGCGUUGUAUUGUUGAUUAUCAUCCAGAUUGUGAUUUGGGCUUCUAUAUAAAAGCUGUUAGAGCUGAGAUGGUUGGAUGCAGAUUACAAACACAUUUGUUUUUCUGUAUUUUAAAUGUUACUUGCUCAAUUUAUCAUUACUUUAUGCAUUAAGGCUGAUUGUUAUAUGUUUAAACCAAUGAAAGCUACCACACAGCUUUCAGUUGUCUUUCCUUCGGUAAUGCAUUGUUCAAACGUUUUGCUUAUGUUACAUAUCUUGUGUGACGCUAUGCUAAUUAUAUAUAUCGCAUACAACUUAGCAUACAUGUGUAUUUAGGUAAUAUGUACACAAUAUGAUUUGAGUUAUUACAUACAGUACCUGCCACAUUUUAAGAAAUUAAUGUCAUCAGCAAAAAUACUACAAAGCAGGGCAGGUUCCUGGCAUGGGCCGAGCCCACCUAAAUGACUGUCUUGCCAACCCAGUCAGAAGUAGAUAAAGAUUACAUUAUUCUUUUUUGUGUGUGUGUGUGUGUGUGUGUGUGUGUGUGCAUAGAUUAAAAUUAAUCUAAAGCCAACUGUAUUUUUAUAAAUUUAAGCUAUAGCUUGGGACUGCCCAAACAAUCAUAAAAUAACUCCAGAAAAUUACAGCAUAUUUAUUUUAUUAGCUGAAUAUAAGGUGGGCUGAAUACAUGCAGGGGCUUUAGUCUGUUGCAAAAAAGCGGAGGCUGACAAUGAGUGAAAACGGGCAGGAAUAUUUGUGUGCUAUCACGGGGAGUUUGCAAGUUAUGAGGAGUUUAAUACACAAAUAUGUAUCAUAGCCUACCACUGAAAUUACCUGAGCAGUUUUAAAUUCUAAAAGAAAACAAAAUAUCAUUCAAUAACGUGCAUUCACUACAUGGAAAGGGCACAAGCAUAUACUGUACACUGAACAAAAUUAUAAACGCAACACUUUUGUUUUUGCCCCCAAUUUUUCAUGACUUAGGCUCAAAGAUCUAAGACUUUUUCUAUAUACAAAAAAGGCCUAUUUCGAAAAUUGUUCAUGAAUCGGUCCAAUCUGUGUUAGUGAGCACUUCUCCUUUGCCGAGAUAAUCCAUCCACCUCACAGGUGUGGCAUAUCAAGAUAAUGAUUAGACAUAUGAUUAUUGCACAUAUGUGCCUUAGGCUGGCCACAAUAAAUAAAAGGCCACUCUAAAAUGUGUAGAUUUAUCACACAGCACAAUGUCAAACACAGGGCACUCCCGGGAGCAAAUUAAUGAAUUAAUGACUCACAACUGGGAACGAAUACACAUGAUGAAUUCAGGCAAAGGAAGGACCAAAUAAGGAAAACAGGAACAUACAUGUGCAACUAUAGAUUUUAAUAUUAGGUAUAUUACUUUUUUAUUUUAAAUCUAAAUAUAGUAUAACAGUUGCAAAGGCAAUAUUUCUCAUUUUAAUUUAGUUAACAUUGUAUAUUAAAAUAAAUACUUAAAGUGAAAUAAAAAUGAAUAAAGACAUAAAAAAACAAAACCUACUAAAAAUUCAAAUGAAAAUAGAAAUUAUAUAAUUGUCACUUAGUGAUACUAAAAUAACACAGCUUGGAAGUCAAAACCAGUUGGUUUUAAUUAAGCGCCAAUGAGAAGUAACAAAUGCCGAAGUGUGUAGGAGAGAGAAACACAAAUUAGUCACAAAUUAGAAGUACAAAAAGAUUUUUUUUUUUUUUUAAAUAUAAAUAUUUAUAAUUGUUUUAUAUAAAGUCAUCUGAAAGACAGAAGUCAUAUACCUAGGAUGCCUUGAGUGUAUAUAAUGGGCUAAUUUUCAUUUUCUGACUGAACUAACCCUUUAAAUAUAGAGGUAAGAUUGAAGAAGCUAAAAAUUUAAUAAAAACUGUUUUAUGAGAGAAACGAUCUACAGUAAUAUAAAGUGAGGCAAACCAUGACUUUUUUCUCGAAUGUUGCCAUUUUUAAUAGAAAAUAUGGUAUCAUUUACGUGAUUCAUGUAAUUUUCUAUAUUUUUUGGAAUACAAAUAUGAGGGCCAGAAAUACAUUAAAUGCUUCUCAACAAGAAUAAGACCUAGAAUCUCUUAAUUCAAUUCAUUUCUUUAAAAAAAUAUAUUUAAAAAAAAUACUUAAUUUAUUAAAAGAAUGCCAGUGUCCUGAAAAUAGUUCCCUUCUCGGGAUGACCUACAUAGCUAAAACUGUCAGAGACAACAUGUCACAUUGUGUAAGGCAGAGAAAAACCUGUCGAAAUGGACUACCAUGACAAAUAUGUGAAAAAUUUGGGUAACACCUCUAGAGGGAGGAAAUAAAUGAGAGGCAGGACUAGCCCAUAACUGUAAUGCCCAUGCACUACAGAUCACCCUGCACUGUUAGUCUUACGAUGUUUCUCUUUGCACAUGUACAGUAUUAUGUGAAUCACUAAUAUAGAUUUUUUUUAUGUAUAGGUAAACAUUUAUAUAAGUAUACUUAGUCAAAAUCUGCAGGUUAGUUUUUUACUUCAUUGUUGUAUGUCUGUAUUUAUGUAGCACCACUGUAUGUCCACACUUGUAGAGGAAUGACAAUAAAGCUCAACUUGAACUUGAACUUGAACUUGAAUUUGAGUAAUGUAAUGUCACAAGCACAAAGGGACUAAUCCACCUCCAAGAAAUGUAAUUAUAUUACAUUGUGUAACAUUAAACCCCAAUAUAACACAAGCAAACUAAGACGUAAUAUAAAUAUUAGCCCUAUUUCUAUAAGACAAAUGCAGAUACCGUUAUAUUAAAGUCUGGAUUCAACCCUUACAAAGAUCUGAGAUGACCGAACACCUGUUGCCGACCCCUCAGAGCACCUCAGAUGAUGGCAACCCUGAACCAACAAACCUCACAACAUAUAAUCAUUUUCAUCAAUAGCAUUCACCGUUUUGUUUGAAUACAUGUCAUUAACUGUUUGCUUUUUACUGUACAUUUCUCCCUUAAGGACACCACCUUGACAUAGUCACCACUGAUAAGCUACUCCUAAAUAUAAUGUAGGAACUAAAAUUUUCUGUGAAGCCGUUUUGCAUUUGUAUCGUGAAAACACUAUACAAAUAAACCUGAAUUGUAUUAAAUAUAUUUACGUGUACACUGGAUCCUCACAUCAUACGAUCUCCUCAUAUGAACAACUUUGCGGAACCCUGGCUGUCAUAUUUGAGAUUAUUUAAAAAACCUAUAUUUCUGCUAAAAAGGAAAUUUAAAAAAAGUCACAUUUUUAUGUGCUUAAAUGCCUUAAAGUGUUUAAACCCUGAUAAUAGCUGCUUAAAGCUAUAUUUCUAAUUCCUAUUCAUACAGUCGUGAGAGAUAUUAAGAAGGUGUUCUUUAACACUGCCUGAAAUAUAAUUUAACAAACACAUUUGGUGUAAUGGUUUUAAGUGUAAUGAUCAAUUAAUAGGAGUUCAUCUGUUGGCCUACUGA
ensembl:lncRNA